GGUGGUGGGAUUAGGGAGCUACUGCCCUUGGUCCUAAGAGCCACUGUCUUGCUGAGUUUUUCGAAGGCCUCUAAUACCAGCAUUUUGGGAGGCCAAGGCAAGAGGAUCACAAGGUGAGCAGAUCAGGACCUACCUGGCCAACAGAAUGAAAACCUGUCUCUACUAAACAAAAAAACUUAGCCAGGUUCUGUGCAGUACUGAAGAGCAACUUCAGCUCUUGAGUUACAGCUCAAUGCAACCUCCUGGCAGGCCAGCCUUAAGCCCAGCAGUCCAACCAUGCAUCUAAGCUGAGUUCUCAUCAGAGCCAACUUCAAUUAUAAACAAUUGAGAUGAUGCCAGAGGCCAGAAUCCCUGAGAACCCAAUUUGCUGUCAUCACCAUGGCUGAAACAAGGUGCUUGGCAUCUAGAAAAGGUGACCUUCAUAAUGCAGGCAAUAGAGAAUUGCAAGAUUUGUCAGAGAUUUCAGGUCUUUGGAAAGCUAUGCUCUUUCACAAGAACAGCCAUGGAAACAGGAAGAAAGUCAAUUCCCACUUAAGAGAUCAUCAGAGUCAAGCUACAAGAAAAGGAGGAACAUAUCUCAGCAAAGACUUAGAGGACUAAUACUGUGAAAUCAAAAUUUCAAGUGAGGGAAUAAAUGCAGCUUUUAAUGAUUACUUAAAUGAAGUUUAACUCUAGCAGGAUCUACAAGAAAUUGGCAACCUUUGGCUUCAGUAACAGAAACUCAGGAUAUAUGUCCUUCAGUGCUUUUGGAUUCUGCAUCAUAUUGAGAGAGACUCCUUUAAACAAGCAAUAAGAAACUUCCUGUGACAACAUAAUAAAUUCAAAAAGUUCUGUUACUCAGACAAUUUAGAUAGAAGCGAGGACUUUGGCCUAGACAGCCCUGUUCACUCUAAAGAUGGACUAAACAAUGAAAAAGAUAUUGACAUCAAAAAUUCAAUCAGGAAUUUGAUUAAAGCAUUUCAUUAAAUGUGAUAAUUUCUUAGUAUAUUAUCUUACAUAUGCAAUAUUCAUGUGUAACAAAUUAAAUACAAGUAAACAUUUGACUAUAUUAUCUGCAGCAUAAUUUACAUACAAUUAACAUAUUCAGUUUUGCUCACAUGAAAACAUGGAUCUUCUCAAUAAGAAAAUUUGUGAAAUCUUUAAUUCCUCAUCCCCAGGAAUGUAAAUAAAUAAAUAUAAAUACUGUA